UUUCUCUUUUGGAAGGGUGAUCUGUUGGGUGUGUAGGGGAGACAGUUGUGAAUGUGCAGUUGAAGUGUGUUGUAUAGUGUGGUGGUGGUGGUGGUGGUUGGAUGGUGGGGAUUUUUCUUUUUUUUUUUUUUUUGGUCUCCCUCUUUUCUCUACUUUAUAUAGUCAUAUGCAUCACAGCAGUACUUCCCUGGAAAUCGUCUAUGCCCAACUCGGGAUUUUCAUGCCUCCACAGGUCAAGGCUCCUGCUGCCGCCGCUGUUGCUGCUGCUGCUGCUGCAGACACUGACAUCACUAUACUGCAUGAAUGAAAAACAACAACGUGCUCCAUUUCUUGCUCUCCACCUCCUUUUCUGCACACUUCUCUGUGUGUGUGUGUGUGUGUGUGUAAGAGGUGUUAUGCUGCAUUUAAAACUACAUUUAAAAAUGUUAAAUUAAGUGGAUGGUGGCUCAAGGGAUAUGUAUUUAGUAUAGAGGCAUAUUGUUUACAAAAAGCUUCAAGUGCUAUGAGCAUUUGGGCUGGAGGUGACAUAACUGAGCAUUCAGUAUUUUUUUAAAUCUGGACUGGUGGUUAUGGAAGAAAAUACAGAAGCUUUAAACACUUUUCUUUGUAACUGUUUUACCAAGAAGAAGUAAUGAAACAACAUGAUUUCCAAACAUGUUAGGUUAUUAUUUCCCUCUUAAACAUUCUUAAUAUGUAUAUUUAUAGGGUUAUGGCUGUAGUAAUAAAGAAAUGACACUCUGAUUAUUUCACAAAGCUGAGGAAAAGCUGAUUUUUGUAAAGAUGCAAUCAAAUUUUAAUAAUUUAUAAAAUUCAACAAGAUGGCAAUUUAUUUUUGUAGCACAAUUUUAGAUGAUUUUAAAGGGUAUCAUAACAGAAGAUACAUAAAUCUUUACCUUGCUCUGUAUAAGGAUAUGAACUUUUACAAAUUAAAACUAUCUUGUUUAUGCAUGUGGAUCAUA